rnacentral:tRNA from 2 species
GCGGGCGUGGUGGAAUGGUAGACACACAGGACUUAAAAUCCUGAGGAGGUAUCUCCGUGCGGGUUCGAGUCCCGCCGCCCGCACCA